GAGUUUGAUCAUGGCUCAGAACGAACGCUGGCGGCAGGCCUAACACAUGCAAGUCGAGCGCUACCUUCGGGUGGAGCGGCGGACGGGUUAGUAACGCGUGGGAAUAUACCCAGUUCUAAGGAAUAGCCACUGGAAACGGUGAGUAAUACCUUAUACGCCCUUCGGGGGAAAGAUUUAUCGGAAUUGGAUUAGCCCGCGUUAGAUUAGAUAGUUGGUGGGGUAAUGGCCUACCAAGUCUACGAUCUAUAGCUGGUUUGAGAGGAUGAUCAGCAACACUGGGACUGAGACACGGCCCAGACUCCUACGGGAGGCAGCAGUGGGGAAUCUUGCACAAUGGAGGAAACUCUGAUGCAGCGAUGCCGCGUGAGUGAAGAAGGCCUUUGGGUUGUAAAGCUCUUUCGUCGGGGAAGAAAAUGACUGUACCCGAAUAAGAAGGUCCGGCUAACUUCGUGCCAGCAGCCGCGGUAAUACGAAGGGACCUAGCGUAGUUCGGAAUUACUGGGCUUAAAGAGUUCGUAGGUGGUUGAAAAAGUUGGUGGUGAAAUCCCAGAGCUUAACUCUGGAACUGCCAUCAAAACUUUUCAGCUAGAGUAUGAUAGAGGAAAGCAGAAUUUCUAGUGUAGAGGUGAAAUUCGUAGAUAUUAGAAAGAAUACCAAUUGCGAAGGCAGCUUUCUGGAUCAUUACUGACACUGAGGAACGAAAGCAUGGGUAGCGAAGAGGAUUAGAUACCCUCGUAGUCCAUGCCGUAAACGAUGUGUGUUAGACGUUGGAAAUUUAUUUUCAGUGUCGCAGGGAAACCGAUAAACACACCGCCUGGGGAGUACGACCGCAAGGUUAAAACUCAAAUGAAUUGACGGGGACCCGCACAAGUAGUGGAGCAUGUGGUUUAAUUCGAAGAUACGCGCAGAACCUUACCAACACUUGACAUGUUCGUCGCGACUCUAAGAGAUUAGAGUUUUCGGUUCGGCCGGACGAAACACAGGUGCUGCAUGGCUGUCGUCAGCUCGUGUCGUGAGAUGUUGGGUUAAGUCCCGUAACGAGCGCAACCCUUGUCCUUAGUUGCCAGCACGUAAUGGUGGGAACUCUAAGGAGACUGCCGGUGACAAACCGGAGGAAGGUGGGGACGACGUCAAGUCAUCAUGGCCCUUACGACCUGGGCUACACACGUGCUACAAUGGCCAGUACAGAGGGCUGCAAGCCCGCGAGGGGGAGCUAAUCUCACAAAGCUGGUCGUAGUCCGGAUCGCAGUCUGCAACUCGACUGCGUGAAGUUGGAAUCGCUAGUAAUCGUGAAUCAGAAUGUCACGGUGAAUACGUUCCCGGGCCUUGUACACACCGCCCGUCACACCAUGGGAGUUGGUUCUACCCGACGACGCUGCGCUAACCCUUCGGGGAGGCAGGCGGCCACGGUAGGAUCAGCGACUGGGGUGAAGUCGUAACAAGGUAACC
rnacentral:rRNA from 1 species